UACGGGGGGGGCAAGCGUUGUUCGGAAUUACUGGGCGUAAAGGGGUUGUAGGUGGCUUGUUAAGUCAGACGUGAAAUCCCUCAGCUUAACUGGGGAACUGCGUCUGAUACUGGCGAGCUUGAGUGCAGGAGAGGAACGCGGAAUUCCAGGUGUAGCGGUGAAAUGCGUAGAUAUCUGGAGGAACACCGGUGGCGAAGGCGGCAUCCUGGACCACGACUGACGCUGAGUGAGCGAAAGCCAGGGGAGCAAACGGG
rnacentral:rRNA from 1 species